GAUGAACGCUGGCGGCGUGCCUAAUACAUGCAAGUCGAGCGAAUAGAUAAGGAGCUUGCUCCUUUGACGUUAGCGGCGGACGGGUGAGUAACACGUGGGUAACCUACCUAUAAGACUGGGAUAACUUCGGGAAACCGGAGCUAAUACCGGAUAACAUUUGGAACCGCAUGGUUCUAAAGUGAAAGAUGGUUUUGCUAUCACUUAUAGAUGGACCCGCGCCGUAUUAGCUAGUUGGUAAGGUAACGGCUUACCAAGGCGACGAUACGUAGCCGACCUGAGAGGGUGAUCGGCCACACUGGAACUGAGACACGGUCCAGACUCCUACGGGAGGCAGCAGUAGGGAAUCUUCCGCAAUGGGCGAAAGCCUGACGGAGCAACGCCGCGUGAGUGAUGAAGGGUUUCGGCUCGUAAAACUCUGUUAUUAGGGAAGAACAAACGUGUAAGUAACUGUGCACGUCUUGACGGUACCUAAUCAGAAAGCCACGGCUAACUACGUG
rnacentral:rRNA from 1 species